GCUGGCUAGCAUCUCCAUGGUAACCGUACACAAACCACCUUUCGCUGCAGGCCGAGCGGUCAGCCUACAGAUCCAGGACGCCGCAGAGCGAAGCGGGAUGCGCUGGAGUAGGUGCUGGUUGGGGAAUCCGGGCUCGACUCAAAACACCUGUGACAAGCGCUAGACACUUAGACCCCGGCGGAGUGUGACGGCCUUCCCGCUCUCGCAGGGAGCCUGCGCCAAUCCCUCUAGCCACGCACGCGUAGCAGCGUCGAGGCGUGGCGAGGGCCCGUGCGGGAGCGCGGGCAGGAGCAUACCCACAGGGGAAAGGAUCUCCAAGACUGUUAAACAACUGGCAGAGGAACAAUGCAGAGAGUGCUAUCCCUGUGUGUGAAUAGCUGAAUCGUGGGCCGUAGCAAAAUAAAUGUGAAGAGCUGUGAAUGUAGCAGUGAAUGUUAACCUGUUGGAUAUCAUUAACUCCUUGCAUUUGGGCAGCACUCAACCGUUUGUAGAGCGAGCUCACAACAGAGCAACUAGGGACCCAAGGUUUGCGGUCCACAGUGAGCCUUCCCAAACGUUGCAGUAGCUGGCUUCUAAGUCUAAAAGUCUCAUCUCCACUGAAACAUGAGCUUACAAACCUGUAAAACAGACAUGGCUUGGACCUAUAAUCCCAGCAUGUGAGAAACUUAGACAGGAGGAUUACCUUAAGUUCCAAACUAGCCUGAGCUGCACAGUGAGACCCUGUCUCAGAAGACAAAACAAGACAUCAAAACCAAAUCUGUUUGUUUGUUUGUUUUUUUACCAACAAUUGUUAUCUAUGGUCUUGUGUCUAAAAUGUUCAUCUAAACUAGACCUUGUAAGCAAACCAUUGAAAUAUGAAGCCAGUCAACCCAGCAGGCCAGAUGUCAGCCAAGCAGGCUAGAAGAACCGAAAAGAAUGACAGAGACAGAGUUAUAGGAAAUAAUUACUUGAAGAGAUAAAUGGCAUAUACCUUAGUUUACUGUAGAACAGUCUAUGGGAAAAUAUUUAGGCUACUUACUACACAGAGGCCUAUGUGGCUGAUUUGGAUGUUCCUCCAAAAUUCUACACAGAUGGGAUUUUGUAAAGAAGGGAUGACUAAACUGUGUUUUUCCUUCCUUGCCAUAAUUCUAUGACUAUGACAGAGAUGUAACUUUUAGGAAAUAAGUGCCUCUGGAAUAAAGGAGUAAAGAGUGCCAGCUUAAAAUGCUAACGCUCAGUUCAAGAUGUCCAGUCAGUUAAUU
rnacentral:lncRNA from 1 species